rnacentral:rRNA from 1 species
AAAUUGAAGAGUUUGAUCAUGGCUCAGAUUGAACGCUGGCGGCAGGCCUAACACAUGCAAGUCGAACGGUAACACAGAGGAGCUUGCUCCUUGGGUGACGAGUGGCGGACGGGUGAGUAAUGUCUGGGAAACUGCC